rnacentral:rRNA from 1 species
UACGUAGGGUGCAAGCGUUGUCCGGAAUUAUUGGGCGUAAAGAGCUCGUAGGCGGUGUGUCACGUCGGCCGUGAAAACCUGCAGCUUAACUGUGGGCGUGCGGUCGAUACGGGCAGACUGGAGGUAUGCAGGGGAGAACGGAAUUCCUGGUGUAGCGGUGAAAUGCGCAGAUAUCAGGAGGAACACCGGUGGCGAAGGCGGUUCUCUGGGCAUGUCCUGACGCUGAGGAGCGAAAGUGUGGGGAGCGAACAGG